rnacentral:rRNA from 1 species
GUGGGGAAUUUUUCGCAAUGGGGGCAACCCUGACGAAGCAACGCCGCGUGGAGGACGAAGGCCCUAGCGGUCGUAAACUCCUGUCUAGCGGGACGAAAAUCUUCACGGUGAAUAAUCGUGGAGGUAGACUGUACCGCUGGAGGAAGCUCCGGCUAACUCCGUGCCAGCAGCCGCGGUAAUACGGGGGGAGCAAGCGUUACUCGGAAUUAUUGGGCGUAAAGGGCGCGUAGGCGGUCCUAUAAGUCUUCUGUGAAAGCCCAGGGCUUAACCUUGGAAGUGCAGGAGAAACUGCAGGAAUUGAGUUCCGGAGAGGAAGGCAGAAUUCCCGGUGUAGCGGUGAAAUGCGUAGAUAUCGGGAGGAAUACCAGUGGCGAAGGCGGCCUUCUGGACGGAUACUGACGCUGAGGCGCGAAAGCUAGGGGAGCAAACGGGAUUAGAUACCCUGGUAGUCC